rnacentral:rRNA from 1 species
GACGAACGCUGGCGGCGUGCUUAACACAUGCAAGUCGAACGGAAAGGCCCUGCUUUUGUGGGGUGCUCGAGUGGCGAACGGGUGAGUAACACGUGAGUAACCUGCCCUUGACUUUGGGAUAACUUCAGGAAACUGGGGCUAAUACCGGAUAGGAGCUCCUGCUGCAUGGUGGGGGUUGGAAAGUUUCGGCGGUUGGGGAUGGACUCGCGGCUUAUCAGCUUGUUGGUGGGGUAGUGGCUUACCAAGGCUUUGACGGGUAGCCGGCCUGAGAGGGUGACCGGGCAAAUUGGGACUGAGAUACGGCCCAGACUCCUACGGGAGGCAGCAGUGGGGAAUAUUGCACAAUGGGCGGAAGCCUGAUGCAGCAACGCCGCGUGCGGGAUGACGGCCUUCGGGUUGUAAACCGCUUUCGCCUGUGACGAAGCGUGAGUGACGGUAAUGGGUAAAGAAGCACCGGCUAACUACGUG